rnacentral:rRNA from 1 species
UACGUAGGGUGCAAGCGUUAAUCGGAAUUACUGGGCGUAAAGCGUGCGCAGGCGGUGAUGUAAGACAGAUGUGAAAUCCCCGGGCUCAACCUGGGAACUGCAUUUGUGACUGCAUCGCUGGAGUGCGGCAGAGGGGGAUGGAAUUCCGCGUGUAGCAGUGAAAUGCGUAGAUAUGCGGAGGAACACCGAUGGCGAAGGCAAUCCCCUGGGCCUGCACUGACGCUCAUGCACGAAAGCGUGGGGAGCAAACAGGAUUGAGAAAC